rnacentral:rRNA from 1 species
UACGGAGGAUGCGAGCGUUAUCCGGAUUUAUUGGGUGUAAAGGGAGCGUAGGCGGCGAUGCAAGUCAGAAGUGAAAGCCCGGGGCUCAACCCCGGCCCGCCGUUGAAACUGGCAGUCUCGAGUUGGAGAGAAGUAUGCGGAAUGCGCGGUGUAGCGGUGAAAUGCAUAGAUAUCGCGCAGAACUCCGAUUGCGAAGGCAGCAUACCGGCGGCGAUCUGACGCUGAGGCACGAAAGCGUGGGUAUCGAACAGG